UACGGAGGGUGCGAGCGUUGUCCGGAAUCACUGGGCGUAAAGGGCGCGUAGGCGGCCUGAUAAGUAGGGGGUGAAAUCCUGCGGCUUAACCGCAGGGCUGCCUUCUAAACUGUCGGGCUAGAGCACGGUAGAGGCAGAUGGAAUUCCCGGUGUAGCGGUGGAAUGCGUAGAGAUCGGGAAGAACACCAGUGGCGAAGGCGACUACCUGGCCUGUUCUUGACGCUGAGGCGCGAAAGCUAGGGGAGCAAACGGG
rnacentral:rRNA from 1 species